rnacentral:rRNA from 1 species
GACGAACGCUGGCGGCGUGCCUAAUACAUGCAAGUAGAACGCAGUUGCGAACGGGUGAGUAACGCGUAGGUAACUGCCUAAUAGCGGGGGAUAACAAUUGGAAACGAAAGCUAAUACCGCAUACUGUGAGAUGGACCAGCGUUGUAUUAGCUAGUUGGGGGGGUAAAGGCCCACCAAGGCGACGAUACAUAGCCGACCUGAGAUGGUGAUUCGCCAAACGUGGACUGGUACACGGCCCAGAGUCCUACGGGAGGCAGCAGUAGGGGAUCUUCGGCAAUGGAGGGAAGUCUGACCAAGCAACGCCGCGUGAGUGAAGAAGGUUUUCGGAUCGUAAAGCUCUGUUGUUAGAGAAGCGGUAACUACCCAGAAAGGGCCGGCUAACUACGUGCCAGCAGCCGCGGUAAUAC